UUUAUACGAUGAAAUCAAACUAACUCACUAUUACUGACACAAUGAAAACAUGUGAACACCUGAGAGGA
rnacentral:snoRNA from 1 species